rnacentral:lncRNA from 1 species
GAAGGAAUAAGAAGAUUGCAUUAUAAACGAGGACAAAAUUUGGGAAAUAGAUCUCAGCCAUCCAUCACCAUGCAGCACAUUCUGGCCAUUAGAUAAAUUUAAUUCGAGGGGCAAAAUCACCUUUUCGUCAUCAUUUUGAAAUCUAGUCAUUGGAUCAAACUCGUACUCGACUUGGGUUGUUGAUUCCUUUCUUUUCAGCUUUUCUUGCGUGUGGACCGUUGAUCUCUGCCACAGACGAUCGCGACCAUGCAAGGUGCACGUCUCUACUUCUGGUGAAUAGAUUCUGAC